rnacentral:tRNA from 1 species
UCCCUGGUAGUCUAGUGGCUAAGACUUGCAAAGCGAGGGGCUGAGGUUCGAUCCCUGGCCAGGGAA